CACUACAGUCACAUCCUGACACGAUGCUUGUCCUGGUGUGCCAGAGUUCUCCAAGAGGAUCUGCUGGUCUUGAUUCACUGGUGGGGCAGUCAGCGCCCCUCUUAGUGCCCAGAUCAGAAACAUGU
ensembl:snoRNA